rnacentral:tRNA from 1 species
GAGCUCGUAGCUCCUCAGCCCGGCUAGAGCGUUACGUUGACAUCGUAGAGGUCAUUGGUUCAAGUCCAAUCGAGCUCACCA